CCAGCAUACACCGCAACCUCACUUCCCUCCUCUGUCAGGAAGAGACCAGUGAGAUUGAAGUGAAUGCU
rnacentral:pre_miRNA from 1 species